rnacentral:lncRNA from 1 species
ACCCAGAAUCAACUCAAUGGUAACCAUUCCUCCUCAUUAGGUAACCUGUCCAAAUUAGAAAAAUUAUUCCUGUGUGACAACCAACUUUCUGGUACCAUUCCAGCAGAAUUCGGCAAUUUGAAAAAUUUGCUUAUAUUGGCAAUGGACGUAAAUCAGUUUUCUGGUCAUCUACCGGAGAUUUGCCACGGUGGGAAACUUAAAAACUUCACUGUGCACAACAAUCAGCUCACGGGACCAAUCCCUAAAAGUCUCAGAGACUGUAAAAGCUUAGUCAGAGUCCGCCUUGAAGGAAACCAAUUCACUGGAAAGCAUAUCUGAAGCCUUGGUGUCCUAUCCCAAAUCUAUAUUACUUGUGGAUCUCUUCGCAAUAACGUUCAUGGGAAAUCUCGACAAACUGGAGAGCUGCCCCCACUGCAAAACCUUUAAAAUGAGGCAGGGAAAACAUCACCGGUCUCAUAACCACCAGAGUUAUGCUAUUCCCUCAACGUUCAGAGCUUAACCUUUCUUCCAAUCAUUUGAUUGGGGAGAUCCCAAAGGAAUUGGGAAAGUUGAAUUCUCUGCUGGACUCUAUCUGGCAACAACCACAUUCCGGCGUAUACCUACAGAACCUUGGAUCCCUGACUAACUGGCAGAAGCUGACCUCUGUCAAAAACAGAUUAAGUGCCAAUAGUCACUUGGAAAUUGGGAGAUUCGGCAACUGAAUAACUUGAAUUUGCGCAGCAGAUAAAUUUUAAGCAAGACAUCCCAGAGCACUGAGUAAAUUAACCUACCACCUCAACUGUCCGCCCUGGAGCUGAAAGUAACAAUUCACUCUCAGGUGAGGCUUACCGUCGCAGAUCGGAAAGUUUUCAAAGUUUUGAGUGGUUGAAGUCUCUCCCACAAUAAUCUUUCUGGUUCCAUUUCCCAAGCAUUUAGACAUGCAUUGGUUGAAAAGCACGUUGAUAUAUCCUACAAUGAGUUGGAGUGUCCAUUCCCACCACAAGCCUUUUCUGAAUGCUUCCAUAGAGCACUGCAAGGGAACUAACAUUUGUGUUGCAAUGUCACAGGAUUGCAGCCUUGCAAAAAUCAGUCCAGAUAACAAAAAGACGUCACGGCAUAACCACUCUUAUUCUUGUAUUUGCUCCCUCUUGGCGGAGCACUUUUACUUCUCGGUGCACUUGCCGGACUUGUUGAUCGCAUUGGAUGAAGAAAGAAAAAGGCAGAAAAAGGGUCCUACGUUGAGGAUCUUUUCCUCCAUAUCAAUAUACAUGUAGAGCAUGUAUAAUGGACAUCCCAAUCUACCAGUAACUUUGAUCCUAUAUAUUGGCAUAGGAAAGGGGAGAUUGGAACUUUCUACAAAGCAAAACUGUCAUCCAUUAAAUGGCAGCUGCUAACAUGGUAGCUGUGAGAACUUCAAUCCUCCUGCGCGUGAUUAUCUUCAAGAAUGCUUCUUGAACUAGGUAAUAGCAUUGACAAAAUGAGGGCAUCGAAUAAGUUAAGCUUUUCGGGUUCUUCGCGUGCCCCACACUCUAUGUUGGUUUAACGAUGUACCUUAAAGGGUGUGCUUGUCUACAAUUUUUGAGGCAGAGAUGAAGAAGCUCAACAAUUAAUGGCCAAAUAGAGUUAAUAUUGUCCAAGGUGUGGCGCAAUCGCUGUUUAUCAUCUAUCACCAUGAUUGCACACCCCCAAUUGUUUUCCCGGACGUAUCAGGCAGACAUUUUUGAUUGACAAGGAGUAUGAGGCUCGUGUAUCAGACUUUGCACAGCUAAGCUUCUGAACUCUGGAUUCCUCUAAGGGGAGUGCACGUGCAGGCACAUACGGAUAUGUUUGCACCCAGGUAACCGUAGUUUUUAUGUGCUCCUAAAUUGACAUAGACUCUAUUACUUCGCAAUCGAUGAACAUUUCUUCUGUUUCUGUCUCUCUUCAUUUUCAGAGAGUUUGCUUAUACAAUGAAGGUGACUGAAAAAAGUGUGAAAUGUAUAUAGCUUUGGAGUGUUAGCACUGGAAGUGAUCAAGGAAGGCAUCCAGGAGAUUUUGUUUCCUCACUGUCACCCCAUCAGUGGGAAAAUAUGCAACUGAAAGAUUAUGGACCAACGCCUUUUACCUCCCUCUUGCUCCUCGAGAGGAGGAAAGUAAUAAUAGCGCAUCAUAAAGAUUGGGCAGUGCAUGCUUGCAUGCCAAUCCACAAUCUAAGGCCAACCAUGGCCAAUCUUUUUCUCACGUAUCGGCCAGAUAUAGUUUAUGUAACCGAAAAUGUAAAGCUAUUUUGCACUAAUGAUGUAUUAGAUAUCAAUAGGUAUAAGCUGGGCAUAUUUAUGUUAUAUAUUUAUUAUUUAUGGUCCACUUAGGGUAAAUAAUAUGACAGGAUCAUGACUAAUGUGACAAGGUUGGUUGGUUGUACUUCUAUACUGUCUUGAUAAAGUUAUAGCAAUUGAAUCGCAAGUUUCAAUAUCUAGGAAAACUUCUGCCAGAGUCUUUGUAAAAUAGUCAGUCAUUUGGUCUAUUUAUUCUCGAUUGCACCCUCUUUUUUUGAUUUCUAUACCCAAACCUUUCUCAGCACAAAACCAUUUAAAAUAAACAAGGCUUCCUUUUCUUCUCAAAACAAUCCCCACUUUAUUCCCACCCGCCCAUAUUCAACCUCCAUCCUGACUAGCGAGUGAGAGGGCGCUCACUUACUAGUUGUGAUACCUAGGUUUGACUCUUAUCGUUGCAAGAUAUAACUUCUCUUCCCCUCCGAACGAUUGGCUAUAAAAAAAAUAAGAAAAACAUCCAAACCCCAGGCCUAGCCUAAUCCCAACCUACCAACGUGGCCACUGAUCCCCACCACCACCCUUAGUUCCUCUCUUGUCGUUGCCACUACUCUACCAUCCUCCCCUAACCACCCUAACCCUUUUCCAACCACUGCUGUCCGCUCUUCAAUAUCUGCCACUGUUCACCUCUCCCUAACCCAUCUCUGCCAUCAGGGGUGGAGACAAGAUUUUAAGUUAGGGGGCUAAAGUGUAAAUUUUUUUUUUCCUAGUUUAAAUUUUAUAAUUUUUUAAAAAUGAGGGGGGCUAGCCGGCUAGAGCCCCUCUAACCCCUGCUUGGUACCUCCCUUCUCUGCCACCUCCGCCCAUUCCAUGUGGGCAGCAAGAGCGGUGUUAUGAUAGAAACUUCUAAUUAGCUGCCAAAUACAGCCCUUUUAUCAAAAGCUCGAUGCAAAUAAGCGGAUUUUUGCUAUUAAAAUCUUGAUCAAAAUAUUAUCUAUGGAGGCUACAAAUCAAAACACAAUACAUAUGAUAAUUGCCGCCAGUAUGUGAACCAAAACAAAUUCCUCCAAGUUUUGUGAAUUCCAAGUCCUUGGCCCACUGAUCAAAACAGAUGCACUACAACCUCAUCUCCCCACUGUCGAUUUCACAUUUCGGGAUCUUGAUUUUGUGUGUAACCAGUAUUUUUUGUCAAUUGUAUACUAGAAGGUGUAAGCUCACUCACAAUUUUAAUUAAGCCCAACGCUUUGUCUAAUUAAAAAUUAAUUUCAAAAUAAUCCUAAUGGUGUCCCUUAUAGUAUAAUUGAACUAAAAAGAUAACAAAGAUAAUUUUAAAAUCUUUCUAAAACGAAAUUAUGGGAAUGGGUAUUCAAUUUUUCCACAAUGUUUCCCGGGUCCAUGUUGCGAUGGGUGCCAAUGACGGAUCGAUCAAUAAUUAUUCUCUGGCCUCGGCCUUAUUGUAUAGAAUUAAAUGUAGAAAAGUGCAGAUGCAUAAUUUUUCUAACAAUAGGCAUAGAAUUAAAUGUAGAAACGGGCAAAUCUAGAGGAGUCCAGGAUACAUGAAGAUAGAAUAAUAACCUAAUUUACACGCUAGAAUUGACAAUUGAAUAACCAUAAAAAUAAUUAGAAUGCAGAAAACAAAAUUACCACGGCCUGGGGUCUAACACCGUAAGGGUGGUGCUAGGGUGGGGUCAGGGUGGUGGGAGUGAGCAUGGAUAGGGAAUAGAGGAGAUUGUUGUUAAACAAAGGAUUAGGUGUGUGAUUCAUGCCAGUGACCAAAUCGAAUGCUAACACAAGUGUUGAUGUCCAAAUGUAAUGCUACAUAACUAUUCUAUUGAACCUUCUGCAUAAUGGUAGGUGUCACAGGGGCAAUUUUUCACUACUAAAAACUCAUGUGCGAUGGCACUAAUUGUGGCGCUUAGUCUCACCAACUUUGCACACAUCUAAUGAGAAGUAAUAAUUCGAAAAGGCCACAAAUGAGUUACAUGACAUCAAUCCCGACCUUUUUGUUUACAACCAUAAUAAUGAACCACUUAGGAUUUUUGUACACAGAACCACUUGUUGCACAUCCCGGCACACUAAGUCUACUUAUAUAAACAUUAACAUGCAUCUAGAACCCCCCCUAACUGCUACGAUAUUUGGACCAAUAAAAUCACAGCUUAUGUCAUUACAAUAACUGUUAAUAACUACUUCAGACAACCUAUUGUAUAGAGACAACUUUGAAUAGAAUCAUACAAGUGUAAUUGCCAACACCCACAACUGCUUGUAACUGCCUUGUACACACACACCCAGCAACAUGCUGAUGCCAGUCCAUGCCCAGUGCAUAGGGCUUGUUGCCUGCAUUGUGCGGAAUGUCGUGCUCCCAUCUUUGUUCAAAGCCCACACAAUCACGCAUUUGGGCACAAUUCCGCUUGUGCCUUGCAUCUUCUCAGCAACAUCACUAUCUUGAACAUUCGCUACCUUGUCAAGGCAUACCUCCCUUAUGGCUUUGCCAUCAGGGGUAGCGCAGGUGCAAGGUGCUACCACGCACGAACCCCGUGCCUGUGUCGAAGGACUAGUAUGCUACAGUAGGAAUGUGGAACCUGAUCCCUGUUGGUAUUGGAAAAUUGGACCUAUUCAAUAGGACUAUCUCAUAUGACAAUGUCUUACCAGCUAGGCAAUUUAAACAUCACUAACUACAAAAAUUUGAAAAAUUUACAUGGGUGGAAUGUGGCGAGGCAUGUAUAUUGUAUCACUAACACACCAAGAAGAUGGACCAGCGGCUGAUUUAGAAAGCAAGGAAGACCUGCUUAGGCGCGUUCAGUAGAAUUUAUGUUUCAAGUGCCUCCACUGUAACGUCUCUGACCUGUUUUGGUGUGUGCUAGGUUUACAUUGGAUGUUUUCGUGGGGGUAGGGUUUACUAGAUCCACACAGUCGCUUUCAUCUAACUAGCUUCUGUCUAAGCACUUCACCAAAGCAAGAGAUGAUAGAAGGGACCUAGUCAAUCUUGUGGCUUGUGAUCAUAACUUUUUCCUUUUUCCUCCCUAGUAAACAGGACCCACCACAGCUUAAGUCUCUCCAAAUGUAAAAUCAUACCCACACAACAAUACAAAGGCCUUUAGCACUGAUGUGUCUGUAAAAAGAUUCCUUAAAACCAUCGUCAAGUAUACAAAAAGAAAAAACCAUGGGGUCUGCCCUUGUUUCCAUAUUCCCUGUUGGACUCUCUGUAGGCAGCAAAGCGGCUUCUUUCUUUCUGCUUCUGGUGAAAGGCUAUGCUCUCCUCAAGUGGAAACUUUCCCUUCAAAAUCGCCAAUAUGGCUCUGGCUAACUUUGUGGGCACGGUCUUUUCAUAAUGACUCCAUUUCAGUGCAAGAACCCAUGCAAUUGGUUUGAGUUUCCUGCAAUUACCGAAGGAGCGUCACCAUAUGGAACCUCAACAACUAAUUCAUUCCGAAGUGGUAAUCUUGAAAGCUUGUGCAUUCUCAAUCAUCUCCUGACUUGCCUUAUAAGGAUGAAGGGAACAACAUCAUCGGUAGCAUAACACCAGAGCUAGGAGAUUCACCUUAAUUACAAAGGCAUGAUCUUUCUUCCAAUCAUUUGAGUGAGGAUAUCCCAAAGGAAUUGGUAAAGUUGAAAUCUUUGCUGGAACUCUCCUGGAAGACUAUCAACUUUCCGGAGGUAUCUACAGAACUUGCAUUUCCUACAAGAAGCUGCGAUGGUGGGCUUUAGUUUCUACCCAAAAAUCAAGCAGCCCUUCUCAGCAAUAAUCGUGUCGCCGAUGUAUGACAAAAUAAGAUCCUCAAAUUGUUUUAGAUUUCCAAGUCCAUAGGUAUAGGAAUGUCAUUCAUGCCAGUGCCCAAAAUGUAAUGCUUACAUAAGUGUUAGUGUCCUAUCUCUUCAGUGAUUCAUAAUUGUUGGAUCAGUCUUUUGACCAUCUCAGUAGAAAACCAAUUCCUGCCUAGUGAGGGCAUCCAAAGCCUUUCAUGGGGCAUGUUCUAAGUGCGGGCAGAGUGGCAUUGUUGCAUCCCAACAAUAACCAGUCUAUUGAAGUUUCCAAGAUGAUUCCUUGCUGGUGUAGGAAGUUUCACAUGGUCAAUAUACAAUGAAAACAUCAAAAUUUUGGAAAAUUAAGAUGACUGGAAUAGGGUGGGGGUGUAUGGAAUAGGGUGGGGGUGUAUAACGUAUCACUAAUGCACCGAGAAGAUUCAUAGUAGGGUGUAGAUUGCCAAGUCCAUAGGUAUAAAUUUCUUCUACUCACUCCAUUUUAACGACACUGGCCUGCUUUUCCGUGUGCUAAGUUUACAUAGGAAAUAUUCACGAGGAUCAGGUUUAUUACAUUCAUAGUCAUUUUAGUGUACCUGGCUUCUUUCUAAGCACUUUUCGAAAGCAAGACAUGAUAAAAGGGGACAAGACCUUGACCUCGUAAAGUCUGUAUAGUUGAUCAUAAUUUUUCCACCCUAAUAAGUGUUAGUGGAAAAAAGGGACCCAAGACGACUUCAAAGUCUCCCUUAACUGUAAAAUCAUAGCCAAAAUAAUGCGAGGACCUUAAGAAAAUGUGUUUAUAAAUUAGAGCUUAAACCAUCAUCAAGUAUACAAAAAAGAAGAAACAUGGGACCUUUAGAGAAAGUACCCUGCCUUGUUUCCAUAAUCCUGUUUGUUCUGCUCUUCCCUUCACCCAAAUCUGCUUCUUCUUCUUCUUCUGAAGAGGCUAAUGCUCUCCUCAAAUGGAAAGUGUGGGGGUUCUUUUUGUAAGAUAAGAGAAAUAAUAGAAAGAAAACUAAAAAUAGACAUCUUCGACGGCGAACGGUGUUACUGUUGGCAUGCUGGACCUAGCUGCAACACAGAAGAGCUGCAAAGGUAUUUGUAAGCUUGCUGGACCUAGCUGCAACACAAGAAGCUGAGAACAGGCCGUCCGGAGCUCUCCUACGGGCCCUCCGACGGUCAAUAUAAGACCGGAUAUGAUAUGUAUAUCAAUGUAAAGAUAAAGCGUAAUAUGUAUUCUCAAACUCAAUUGCGUGUGAUAAGAAAGUGUAUGUAGUUCUUCUAGGUCUCAAUUGCGUACCUUGGUGAGAGCUAGGUCAACUCUUCUUUUAUAAGCCUAGCCGCGGUAGGCUACUGACCUAGCAUGCCCCUAAGGCUUGGUUGGGUAGCUAGUCAUCAAUGUCCUCUGAUUCAAGCAUGGAGCUGUCAGAAGAAAGCCUUUUCGUUGCAAAGCACCUCUCUUGUCCCUCCAUGAUAUGCCUCGGGACCACAUUACAUUGUCACAUCCGACCUAGCUCAAGCGUCUCGACCUGCU